ensembl:lncRNA
CCAUCUCUCCGCUCUCACUUCACCAGACCCCGCCCUGUCGGCCCAGUCUUUCCCUUUCUCCAACUGUUCCCGUCUGCCCCCAUCCCCUGCUUUUAUCACCUGCGCUCAGCCGUUGACCUGGGAGGGGAACCAAGCUUACACACUACGGUUGGAUAAAGGGUCAGUUAAGUGGGGUGCCAGGUGGUGCACGAGGCUGUGGUCCUGAGGGUGCUCGGAAGCGAAUCUGAUAAAACCAGGCGUAGCUCCGCCCAGAGAGUGCCGGCCUCAGCCUAAAGAGUUCCACACUGCUUCCUCACCUUCGCCAAGCCACUUCCACCUCCUGUGCCCUGGCCUUCAUUCAAGCCGGAAUGGGCUGAGGAACAUCAUACAGACAAAGAAGUUGGCAUGACCUUUGUCAGUUUUGAGGGAGACCUUUGGCAAGCGGUCUCUGUCAAGCUCACAUUUGUUUGUAGCCCUAAACUCGUUUAAACGAAUAGAGCAGGAAUCUGCUCCAGGAAUCUGAGACGAAAGGAAGGUCUGAUGCUGUCUCCCUAAGAGCUGGUGAGGUCCAAGACUGGUCGUCUGGGAUGAGGGGCUGCCCUCGGCUGGGGCUCCUGGGGCCAGCUGGCCUCCUGAUUGAGUCCUCCAGGUCACCGGGAACGACAGCGAAGAAGGACUGUUGCAGCAGCCUCGUGAGCGUUCCCCCCAUGGGCUCUUGGUAGACGCUGACCAUUUGGCUGCAGGUCCAGUUGAGGCACCGAGCACAGGAGCAGCAGUUGGCUGAGCUUCCUGAAACUCUUGACCUGAAGUCCAUUCAGCACAGUAUAGUGGAAAAGAACGGCGUUCUGCGUGUGUACACCGGAGCUGCAGACCUGGGUUUGACUUCUACUCUGCACCUAGUAGCUGUGUGACCUUGGCCAAGUCUCUUGCCCCCAUAUCCUCAAUUUCUGGCACUUUUGAGUGAUAUUAACAAUGUAAUUCCACAAGGAGGACACAGGAAAAAAGUACAGUAGAUUAAGAGUAUCUGCUGCAGUUCUCAGGGGCACUGUGAUUGCUGUACAACAGAGCACUUCACACUAAGAAUCUUCCAGUGCCAUCUGAAGACUGCAGUUCAUGGGCAGCUCUGACAUUCACCAGCUACAUGACCAUGGAUGUCAUGUAACCUGGGCUGACUUUCUGUAAAGCGGACAGCGCCCCAUCUGCCAGACCUCAGAUCUCACUGCAUCAUCACCAGGACCCAGCCAGGUGACAGCAGGAAAGUGCUUUUAAACUGUGCUAGGAACAGAGCAGUGAAGAACACAGAUGUGUCCUUGUCCUCAUGAAGCUUGCAGUCUGCUGGGGAGUACAGUCACUGAACAGAUACUCUCCAAACUUGUGGUGGAAUUAGCAGUCAUUCAGUUUCUCUUGUCACUCCGUCCAGCCUUUGAAGGACAACCGGGAAGGAGACUUAGAGGCUGGCUCUCUGAAGGGGUGGAGACACGCAUCUGUGGUCCCUGCGGUCAGCCUUCAGCAGUUUGAGUUGGGAGAGCUUUUUCGUUUCUGUAGAACUUGAAGGCUGCCGUUUGAAAUGGCACUGGAUCAAGUGUUCAUUGGCCACCACCUACUUCCGACAUGGAACACAACUGCUCGUCCAGUUGCAAGCACAGAAUGAAGGUGAAUCAGCUCAUGGAUGGCCUUCAGAAAUUCUGAGCUUGGUUUUAGACAUUGUAACAUAUAUUAAGACCAACAGGGCAAAAGAGGUCCUUUAAGUGUGAAAUUAAAGUAUUAUCCAAGGAUA